AGUGAACGCUGGCGGUAGGCCUAACACAUGCAAGUCGAACGGCAGCACAGAGGAGCUUGCUCCUUGGGUGGCGAGUGGCGGACGGGUGAGGAAUACAUCGGAAUCUACUCUGUCGUGGGGGAUAACGUAGGGAAACUUACGCUAAUACCGCAUACGACCUACGGGUGAAAGCAGGGGAUCUUCGGACCUUGCGCGAUUGAAUGAGCCGAUGUCGGAUUAGCUAGUUGGCGGGGUAAAGGCCCACCAAGGCGACGAUCCGUAGCUGGUCUGAGAGGAUGAUCAGCCACACUGGAACUGAGACACGGUCCAGACUCCUACGGGAGGCAGCAGUGGGGAAUAUUGGACAAUGGGCGCAAGCCUGAUCCAGCCAUACCGCGUGGGUGAAGAAGGCCUUCGGGUUGUAAAGCCCUUUUGUUGGGAAAGAAAUCCAGCUGGUUAAUACCCGGUUGGGAUGACGGUACCCAAAGAAUAAGCACCGGCUAACUUCGUGCCAGCCGCCGCGGUAACAC
rnacentral:rRNA from 1 species